AAAACAAAAAAGAUCUCGCAUAACUAGAGGCUAAUGAGAACAACACAUAACUUACAAAGAGCCAUCUUUUUGGGAGGCUCAUUAGGGUAUUCGCCCCCCCCCGCCAUCCGCCCCGGUCCAGGCCUCCCCCUCCGCCAUCAAUGAGAAUAUUGGACAAUGGGGGUAAGCGGACUCAGACAUCGAAGGGCUGGACGAUUGCCUGUGGGUUUUAAACCGCUUUUUAAAAAGGAUUACCCUCUCUCGAGAGAAUAGCUGCAGGGUGCGUUAGGGAUGAGCUUCAGCCACCUUCGUGCCCAGUCGCCCCGGUAAUACGGGCGGGUCCACGAGUUAUUCGGGAUUUUUUUGGUUUAAACGGGUCCGUUAGUGGGGCUGAUAAGCUCUGCGGUGAAAUCAUGCAGCUUUCACUGUUGGUAUGCCGUCGAAACUUUUAGUCUUGAGUGUAUUGGAAGUGGCUGGAAUAAGUAGUGCAGCCGGUAAAAUGCAUUUCUUUUUUCCUAGAAUCCCAAUUCCGCAGCCAGAUCACUAGUUCACAUUUGCCGCUGAGGGACGAAAGCGUGGUGAGCGAUCAGG
rnacentral:rRNA from 1 species